rnacentral:rRNA from 1 species
UAGGGAAUCUUCGGCAAUGGACGAAAGUCUGACCGAGCAACGCCGCGUGAGUGAAGAAGGUUGUCGGAUCGUAAAACUCUGUUGUUAGAGAAGAACAAGGACGUUAGUAACUGAACGUCCCCUGACGGUAUCUAACCAGAAAGCCACGGCUAACUACGUGCCAGCAGCCGCGGUAAUACGUAGGUGGCAAGCGUUGUCCGGAUUUAUUGGGCGUAAAGCGAGCGCAGGCGGUUUCUUAAGUCUGAUGUGAAAGCCCCCGGCUCAACCGGGGAGGGUCAUUGGAAACUGGGAGACUUGAGUGCAGAAGAGGAGAGUGGAAUUCCAUGUGUAGCGGUGAAAUGCGUAGAUAUAUGGAGGAACACCAGUGGCGAAGGCGGCUCUCUGGUCUGUAACCGACGCUGAGGCUCGAAAGCGUGGGGAGCAAACAGG